rnacentral:rRNA from 1 species
ACCUGCGGGAUCAUUA